rnacentral:rRNA from 1 species
CCUACGGGAGGCAGCAGUGGGGAAUAUUGGGCAAUGGAGGAAACUCUGACCCAGCGACGCCGCGUGAGGGAUGAAGGCCUUCGGGUUGUAAACCUCUUUCAGUAGGGAAGAAGCGAAAGUGACGGUACCUACAGAAGAAGCACCGGCUAACUAUGUGCCAGCAGCCGCGGUAAUACAUAGGGUGCAAGCGUUGUCCGGAAUUAUUGGGCGUAAAGAGCUCGUAGGUGGUUCGAUACGUCGGAUGUGAAAAUCAGGGGCUCAACCCCUGACCUGCAUCCGAUACGGUCGAGCUAGAGUUUGGUAGGGGAGACUGGAAUUCCUGGUGUAGCGGUGGAAUGCGCAGAUAUCAGGAGGAACACCGAUGGCGAAGGCAGGUCUCUGGGCCAAUACUGACACUGAGGAGCGAAAGCGUGGGGAGCGAACAGGAUUAGAUACCCUGGUAGUCCACGCCGUAAACGGUGGGCGCUAGUUGUGCGAACCUUCCACGGUUUGUGCGACGCAGCUAACGCAUUAAGCGCCCCGCCUGGGGAGCGACGNCGACAAGUAACUAAACUANAANAGAGUAGACGCGNGAGACGCGACGACGACGACGACGAGGAGAG